rnacentral:lncRNA from 1 species
CUUCACACCGCGUGGCCGCUGCCGCUCUAACCUGGUGGUCCCAGCGCGCACGACCCACGUGGAGUUCCAGGUCUCCGGCAGCCUCUGGAACUGCCGGUCUGCGGCCAACAAGGCUGAGUUCAUCUCAGCCUAUGCUACCCUCCAGUCCCUAGACUUCCUGGCGCUGACGGAAACAUGGAUCACCACAGAUAACACUGCUACUCCUACUGCUCUCUCCUCGUCUGACUACGUGUUCUCGCAUACCCCUAGAGCAUCGAGCCAGCGGGGUGGUGGCACUGGAAUCCUCAUCUCUCCCAAGUGGACAUUCUCUCUUUCUCCCCUGACCCAUCUGUCUAUCUCCUCAUUUGAAUUCCAUGCUGUCACAGUUACCAGCCCUUUCAAGCUUAACAUCCUUAUAAUUUAUCGCCCUCCAGGUUCCCUUGGAGAGUUCAUCAAUGAGCUUGACGCCUUGAUAAGUUCCUUUCCUGAGGAUGGCUCACCUCUCACAGUUCUGGAUGAACUCUCGCGUCUUGUGACGGCCGGCCGCCCAACAACCUGCCCACUUGACCCUAUCCCCUCCUCUCUUCUCCAGACCAUUUCCGGAGACCUUCUCCCCUACCUCACCUCGCUCAUCAACGCAUCCUUGACCGCUGGCUACGUCCCUUCCGUCUUCAAGAGAGCGAGAGUUGCACCCCUUCUGAAAAAACCUACACUCGAUCCCUCCGAUGUCAACAACUACAGACCUAUCUGCUGCCUUUGAUACCGUGAACCAUCAGAUCCUCCUCUCCACCCUCUCCGAGCUGGGCAUCUCCGGCACCGCGCACGCUUGGAUUGCGUCCUACCUGACAGGUGGCGAAUCGCAUCUCUGCAUGUCUGGCAGACAUAUCAGUGUGGAUGACGGAUCACCACCUCAAGCUGAACCUCGGCAAGACGGAGCUGCUCUUCCUCCCGGGGAAGGACUGCCCGUUCCAUGAUCUCGCCAUCACGGUUGACAACUCCCUUGUGUCCUCCUCCCAGAGUGCUAAGAGCCUUGGCGUGACCCUGGACAACACCCUGUCGUUCUCCACCAACAUCAAGGCGGUGACCCGAUCCUGUAGGUUCAUGCUCUACAACAUUCGCAGAGUACGACCCUGCCUCACACAGGA